rnacentral:lncRNA from 1 species
GCCAAGACGGUCCUUCGUGACCCAAGUCCGCAUCAUGCCCCAGUAGGGAGAGAGGCAGACCUUGCAGCUUCCAGAUUUCUGGGAGUCGACAGUGGUGCCAGAGCCAGGCAGGGUUCACUUGGCAGCUGUCUGUGCAUUUCCACCAACUGGAUGCAAGAGUGUUGACGCCGCCUUUAGGGUCCUCUGAGUGUGUGGGUGUGUGAUGACUCUUGUGGAGUGGAGGCGCUCGUCCUCCUUGUCAAGAGCUCAUUUUCUGCUCGGUGCUCUGAGCAAGCUCUGCUCGCUCUCUCCUCCUCUGUCUCUGUCUGUGUGUCUGUCUCUCUCCCUCUCUCUCUCUGUGUCUCUCUCUGUCUGUCUCUCUGUCUCUGUCUCUGUCUCUGUCUCUGUGUCUGUGUCUGUCUGUCUGUCUCUCGUCGGCUCACGCUGGAUCGCUCGCUCUCUCGCGCUCUCUGUCUCUCUCCCUGCGCGCCCCCCCCCCCGGCCCUCUCUGUCUCUGUUCUGUCUUUUUCCAGCUCUCUCUCCUGUUCCCACUUCAACUGCGGCCUGGCCCCAGCCAGAGGAGGAUUGUGUGAUCUCCCUGGCUGAGCCCUUCCCAUUGCUCUUCUGUGAGCAGACCCUUCCACCUUCCAGGGAAAGCAGCUCUAGGAAUGUGUGUUUCCCAAAGCCGCUUGUCUCCACUUGAGCCCUCCCUCCGCCCACAGGCUCGGCAGGGAUGUGCCGCCCACGGUCGAGCCUCCGCUCCCGAGAGCGUGCCUGGAGGAAUACUCCUGGACCUGCGCCACGGACGUCGGCCAGUCCGAGUCCUGCUGGACUCAGUCGAGCAGUGCCGUCUUCUGCUUCCAGGGCCUGGCCGUCUCCUCCCUGGCAGACACCCCCAGUGAGUAUUGCCGCUGUGCAGGGGAUAAGGCUCCAGCUGGACUCCCUGGGCGGUCGGUGUCCUUGGCAUGCCAGCCCUCGGGCUGUGCAGACAGACACAUUGAAGGGAAUCAGGCUGGAGGACAGAGUUGGAAGCACAGACGGGAGACGCUUGAGGGAGCUGCGCUCCCUUCCUUCUUGCCAGGAUGCGCCCAGGUGCCCCUGGCCCCAGUGACACAUCACGGGACCCAAAGCCGGCAGGACAAACUCAGCUCCCCUGUGCCGCACGUAGCGCCAGGGCAGGUGUCUGUCAAACAUCCCCGCUGGCGUGAAAUGUCUCCUCGCACCUUCAGUGCUCUUUCACGCCUGAGGCAUGUCCCUCCAGAUUCUGGGCCCACCCCGUCCGCCUGGCCUCCUUGUGGACAUCUGCCUCCGAGAUGCCUCCUGGGCUUCACUCUUCUGGGCCCCACUCUCCGGCUCCGUCACGUUGGCCUCUCUUCCAACUCGGAAGCAGUCCUCGGAAGAACGCCCCUAGCCACCUGUCCCGUUUCCCGUGCUCCCGGGUUUCCCGCAUGCGAGCCUAGGCCUUGGCCUUCUCCCAGCCCACAGGGUGGCCAGUGUUUCUGCGGAGCAGGGGCGACGAUGCCUCUGGAUGCCAGGGUUUGUAGAGUGCAGCCGGCCUUCUCCCCUCAGGCGAUGAGUUUGACUCGAGCCUCCACAACUAGUGUCCCUGCGCAGAGAAGGCUGAGUAGUGCAGCACUUGUGGGAGCAGUCUCUUAGGCUGGGGCCCCAGACAGUGUGAGCCCCACGCCUCUUUGGCUGUUUUCCCAGACUCGGGAGGGCAUCCUGGGCUGAGGGCCUCCCCGAUCGGGGAGACGCGGCCCGCUGGCUCAGCAAAGCCAGGCCGGCACUUUCACGAGACACCGCCUGAGGUCUCCUGGCAGAUUGCUCUUCCCGUCUGCCGUUGUCACACUGAGGAUGUGGAGGUCCCUGGGCUGGGACUGGACACUGGAUUCCCAAGGGUCGAGUGGGGAUCUGCUUAGUGUGACUGGCCCCGUGCGAAUUUCUUUCCAGGCCAACACACCGAUCCGGAGGACGACGGGGGCGUCCAAGACGGCCUGUGUUGCAGGUAAUUCGGAAGAAUCCCGGGACUCCGUUGGAAGGGGCCAUCUGGGCAUCUCCAAUCGAGGGAAUUCAGCGAGCGCUGACUAUCCCCGUUUCCCCCACGCACGCAACCGCCAAGUGUCCCUUUCCCAGAGUGCUCUGUGUUUCUCACCGUGGUCCUCAGAUGGGCCAAUUCCGUGAUCUCUCUCCAGCGUGGUCACGGGCAGUCAGAUGCCGGAGGUGUGCUCAUCUGUCAGCGGAUGGCGUGCGCUCUCCCGUUCUCUCUUUCUUCUGUCACCCAGCGGAGGACGCAUGUCUGCCUCUGCCCGGUUGCUGUUCCCACGGUGGCGGCUAUUUCCUGGCCAAGACAGACAUUUGUGACCAAAGUCCGCAUCAGGCCCCAGUAGGGAGAGAAGCAGACCUUGCAGCUUCCAGAUUUCUAGGAGUCGACAGUGGUUCCAGAGCCAGGCAGGGUUCACUUGGCAGCUGUCUGUCCAUUUUCACAUUUCGUUUUUAUUUUCUCUUUCUGUCUCUCGGAUACCAAGAUCUCUGGAACUAAGAAAAGAUAUUACUGAUUUGAAAGAAUCCACAUCACAAAAAGUACCAUUUUCACUUGAUGAAAAAUAUCUAAAACAGCAAAUCAAUUUAAAACCCAAAAAGAACAGUCAAGGGAUCC